UGAGCAAUCUGCCCUUCUCAUCGGAAUAACCAUUGGAAACGAUGGCUAAUACCGAAUAUGACUUCGGAUCGCAUGAUCUGAAGUGGAAAGCUCCGGCGGUGAAGGAUGAGCUCGCGGCCUAUCAGCUUGUUGGUGAGGUAAUAGCUCACCAAGGCGAUGACGGGUAGCCGGCCUGAGAGGGUGACCGGCCACACGUGGGACUGAGACACCGGCA
rnacentral:rRNA from 1 species